rnacentral:rRNA from 1 species
GACGAACGCUGGCGGCGUGCUUAACACAUGCAAGUCGAACGGAAAGGCCCUGCUUUUGUGGGUUGCUCGAGUGGCGAACGGGGGAGUAACACGUGAGUAACCUGCCCCUGACUUUCUGAUAACUUCACGAAACUCGGGCUAAUACAGCAUAGGAGCUCCUGCUGCAUGGUGGGGGUUGGAAAGUUUCGGCGGUUGGGGAUGGACUCGCUGCUUAUCCGCUUCUUGGUGGGGUAGUGGCUUACCAGGGCUUUGACGGGUAGCCGGCCUGAGAGGGUUGACGGGGACAUUGCGACUGCGAUACGGCGCAGAAGGCAACGGGAGGCAGCAGGGGGGAGUAUUGCGCAAUGGGGGGACGCCAGAUGCAGAAAUGCCGCGUGCGGGAUGACGGACUACGGGUUGUAAACAGAUUUCGCCUGAGACGAAGCGUGAGUGACGGUACUGGGUAAGGAAGCAACGGCUAACUACGUG